GUGCACUUUAAAGGUUGAUGCAGUGCCUUAAGAGGCUAGCACAGAAGGGAAGAGUAAGUCUCCAUAAAACCCAGAGAAGAGAUAGUAAAACCCCUUCUUUGGAUGCUGUCUGGAGUCAUAGCU